rnacentral:RNase_P_RNA from 1 species
CCAGCAGGCCGGAUGGCCGCUCCGCCGAUAUCGUUGGGUAGUAGAGGCGGGGAGGAAAGUCCGGGCUCCAUGGAAGCACGGUGCCGGAUAACGUCCGGCGGGGGCGACCCCAGGGAAAGUGCCACAGAAAGCAAACCGCCCUGCGUAGCGCUCCGUCAGGAGUUGCGAAGCUGGGUAAGGGUGAAAGGGUGCGGUAAGAGCGCACCGCGCCAGCCGGUAACGGCGGCGGCACGGUAAACCCCACCGGGAGCAAGACCAAAUAGGGGCGGCACGGAGACGGCGAAAGCCGCUUCCAGGUCGGUUUCCAGACCCGCUGCCCGGGUUGGUUGCACGAGGCGCACUGCGAGGUGCGUCCCAGAUGAAUGGCCAUCGCCGCAUCCGCGGUACAGAACCCGGCUUAUAGGCUUGCCUGGUGAA